rnacentral:rRNA from 1 species
GACGAACGCUGGCGGCGUGCUUAACACAUGCAAGUCGAGCGGUAAGGCCCUUUCGGGGGUACACGAGCGGCGAACGGGUGAGUAACACGUGGGUGACCUGCCCUCAGCUCUGGGAUAAGCCCUGGGAAACUGGGUCUAAUACCGGAUAUGACUCCAUGACGCAUGUUGUGGGGUGGAAAGCCUUGUGCGGCUGAGGAUGGGCCCGCGGCCUAUCAGCUUGUUGGUGGGGUGANGGCCUACCAAGGCGACGACGGGUAGCCGGCCUGAGAGGGCGACCGGCCACACUGGGACUGAGAC